rnacentral:rRNA from 1 species
GAAUAUUGGACAAUGGGCGAAAGCCUGAUCCAGCCAUGCCGCGUGUGUGAAGAAGGUCUUCGGAUUGUAAUGCACUUUAAGUUGGGAGGAAGGGCAGUCAGCGAAUACCUUGCUGUUUUGACGUUACCGACAGAAUAAGCACCGGCUAACUCUGUCCCAGCAGCCGCUGUAAUACAGAGGGUGCAAGCGUUAAUCGGAAUUACUGGGCGUAGGGCGCGCGUAGGUGGUGCGUUAAGUUGGAUGUGAAAUCCCCGGGCUCAACAUGGGAACUUCAUCCAAAACUGGCGAGCUAGAGUAGGGCACAGGGUGGUGGAAUUUCCUGUGUAGCGGUGAAAUGCGUAGAUAUAGGAAGGAACACCAGUGGCGAAGGCGACCACCUGGGCACAUACUGACACUGAGGUGCGAAAGCGUGGGGAGCAAACAGG